CUCACACGCAGCUCCUACCUGCAAAUCUGGAGUGCUUCACACAAAAUGAGCCCAUACUCAGGGUGAUCCUUCACCUUGGCCGCACAGAUGUUCAGUAUUCUGGCUACGUCCGCCAGCUCCUUCAGAAGCUUCACGUGCGGCGGCGUUAAAUUGGAGCCUUGGGGACAGCGCUUCGCUUCGUGGGCACGCUGCAUGUAAGCACAUCUAUUUCUACCACUGCACCGGGGACCAUUAAUGAGGAAAAUCUGACAAUCAGUGGCAGAGCGUGACAUUGUUUUUCUCAGGACAAAGAGGUGCCGCUCCUUCAGGUUCGUCUGCAAACAGCGUGAACAGUGUGAAGACCGCUACCAUCAUCCAGAUCUAAAACAUGACAGCGCGUAACUUACAGUCAGGGGAUCUUCAAGAAGUCCAAGCACCCUCCUGAGAUCAAGCUGAGCACUGACCUGUUAAUUACAGUAUGGGUUAACGCUGUCUGUUCAUUUAACUCCUGGUUAACGAGGUUGCUGCUAUGAAGGAGCAUUAAAACUAACUUUCACCUCCUGGAAAAACUGGUUCUUGUCGGAUGCUCUUGAUCUGAUCGCAGGAACGUCCGCUUUCCUUCUGGACACAGUUUUGCUUGAAUCCAUUUUAGAAUCUUGAGUUCUCGGAGCCCUGCACCCGUGUCCACACAUCUGUUCUCUGCAGUUCGCCCCUUUGCACAAGAGCAGCAGAUGCAGACAUGAGCUCUAGUUGCAUUUUUUAAUUUUGCUGCCACGCAUUCGCUCUGCGCUGUGUUAACACAACCAGUGGAUGAGCAUGAAGAGUGAACCCUGAAUGAACAGUGUGGCUUCAUCUACCAACCAAGAUAACCAGCUGAGUCUACAGGUAGAAGAAGGUCUCAGUCCGAGCUGACAGUCGGCUGCAGCAGCUUCCAGACAGAGACAGCAUUUUGUGUAGUUACAUAAGUGACUGCAGUGCAUUAACACACAUGUUCCUUCAAGCGUGCAGCAACGAGCCGCUUCUUCUCUUUUACUGGCUGAGUGACCAAAUGCGUGUGACGGGCCGGGGCUUCACUGCCGGACCGGGAUGUUCACACUGCACAAAGAGCUGGGACGCACAGGAGCCUCCUCUGUUUGCUCAGGCUGCCGAGGGAUUCUCACGGUGUGGAUGAGGCUGGAGCCGGACCCCUGCUAGGUGGUACCUCACCUCCCAGAGAAGCUGAACUUCAAACUGUUGUUGACUCGUCUGGGAAGCAGAAAUGAUCAUCAGGCUGGGAAGACUGACGCCAGGAUACUUCCGUCUCCUCCAGAGACAGAUGUCAGGUGAGGUCCGGAUUCAGCCGCAGAGCAGCUUCACUGAUCCCAUCGCCAUGACGAUGGCCACCGUGGGGAUAGGUGUGUCCCUGUACAGCGCCAGGCGGAUGACAGGGGUCCAGAUGACACGCGCGACUGCCUGACAUCGAUGAAAACCCAGUGUCUGUAGCUGAAGCUGUGUGGGCGGGUCCACAGAUUGUUUGUACGUCAGACUGUUUGUUUGUGGGUCGGAGGUUUUGUGACGGAGGAGGUGGAGAGCGUUAAUGUGUUUGUGGUGUUGCUGAAAGGAAAAAAUAAGUGUCAGGAGGAAAACGUGAGUCACAGUCAGACCCAGAGAUUCAGUUUGUCACUAUGCAGCUGCCAACAGGAAAACAGAGUCAGUUAGUGAGUCUGUUUAUGAUCAGUCCUGAGUUUAAAAUGCACUGCACAUUAAUCCUUAACUGCAUUUUUACUGUAAUGCGCAGGACAAGCAUAUCAAAGUAUCUGACCUGAACACACUGAACAAAGGUUUUACACAGAAAAAAAACACAAAUUAGUUUUUGUACUUAACAAUACACAAAAACUAAUGUAACUAUUGUCUAUCAUCACUUACGAAGUACAAGUGUCUGUUGAACUCUAGCACACUAAUAAUCUCAACUCUAAAUGCUAAAGCAGCACUUUUACCAUCUAAUAUUUUCCACUUAUUGAAGCACUGUCUGUCUCACAUUUGCUGAAGUUCAGCUUUUAUCAGGUAUUUAGUAAAUUAAAUGUAAAAUGACACCAAAUACAUUUUACUUGAUGACUUUAUGCAAUUCCUGAAUAAACAUGUUCAUGUUUCUACUAUGA